rnacentral:rRNA from 1 species
AUGGAUCCUCAUCCACUUGCUAAUCUUUUUAAGAGAUCCAAUUAUGAUGAACCAAUUUCUAGUGAUGUGAGUGCACUAGAUUAUCUUUAUGAGGUUUUUCUUGAAAUUCGUGAAUCUAAAAAUUGUGAUGAAGUGUUGAAAGAAGAAAUUUAUGAACAGAUUCACGAUAGCUCCUUGAAUAAAAAGCAUGAUUGCAAUGAUUUUACUAUAAAUUCUCUUGAUGUCAAUUGUGCUAACAAUAUGCAAAACCCUAAGCUUGGGGAUGCUAGUUUUUCUAUGUCUACUACUUGUUGCAAUGAUCAUGAUUGGGGUGAUUCUUCUUAUGAUCUUGAAAAUUUAUUUAAGCCCCAUGAUGAAUAUGAGAUUGAUAAUAGUGUUUGCAAUAAUAUUGAAAGUGGGUUUGGAAGAGUGUCAACUUUAGAUCCCACAUAUUUGGAGAAUGUUCAAUCUUAUGGUAUUUUUUAUAAACGUGGGUUUGGAGAGGUCAUGACUUUAGUUAAUGAUAAUCCCACUAUUUUGGAAGAGUGUCAACUUCGCAUGCAUGUGGAUCGUGUUGAGACUAUGUUAUGUGAUAGCUAUUUUAUUGAAUUUGCCUAUGAUCCUACAUGUAAUUAUUAUGAGAGAGGAAAAUAUGGUUGUAGAAAUUUUUAUCUUACUAAAUUACCUCUCGUCAUGUUGAGAUUGCUAUCGUCUCUUUCUUCUUCCUUGCAUAUGCUAAUUUUUGCUUGCUAUGAUAAUUUGUUUGCUUAUAAAAUUCCUAUGCAUAGGAAGUAUUUUAUACUUAUAUGUGUUUAUCAUGUGUUCUAUGAUGCUCUCUUUGUGCUUUAA